rnacentral:rRNA from 1 species
AGUGAACGCUGGCGGCGUGCCUAAUACAUGCAAGUCGAACGAAGUGGCGCACGGGUGAGUAAUAUAUAGUUAAUCUGCCCUACACAGAGGAACAACAGUUGGAAACGGCUGCUAAUACCUCAUAGUGUAGGAUGAGACUAUAUCGUCUCAGCUAGUUGGUAAGGUAAUGGCUUACCAAGGCUAUGACGCGUAACUGGUCUGAUAGGAUGAUCAGUAUCAUUGGAACUGAGACACGGUCCAAACACCUACGGGAGGCAGCAGUAAUGAAAAUUACGCAAUGGGGGAAACCCUGACGCAGCAACGCCGCGUGGAGGAUGACACUUUUCGGAGCGUAAACUCCUUUGAACAUGAAAGCGGUACCUGACGAAUAAGCACCGGCUAACUACGUGCCAGCAGCCGCGGUAAUAC